AUUGAACGCUGGCGGCAUGCCUUACACAUGCAAGUCGAACGGUAACAGGUCUUCGGAUGCUGACGAGUGGCGAACGGGUGAGUAAUACAUCGGAACGUGCCCGAUCGUGGGGGGAUAACGGAGCGAAAGCUUUGCUAAUACCGCAUACGAUCUACGGAUGAAAGCAGGGGACCUUCGGGCCUUGUGCUACUAGAGCGGCCGAUGGCAGAUUAGGUAGUUGGUGGGAUAAAAAGCUUACCAAGCCUACGAUCUGUAGCGGGUCUGAGAGGAUGAUCCGCCACACUGGAACUGAGACACGGUCCAGACUCCUACGGGAGGCAGCAGUGGGGAAUUUUGGACAAUGGGGGCAACCCUGAUCCAGCCAUGCCGCGUGAGUGAAGAAGGCCUUCGGGUUGUAAAGCUCUUUCGGCCGGGAAGAAAUACGCAUAGGCUAAUACCCUGUGUGGAUGACGGUACCGGAAUAAGAAGCACCGGCUAACUACGUGCCAGCAGCCGACGGUAACUACG
rnacentral:rRNA from 1 species